GGUGAAGCCCGAUUUCUCAGGUCCCUUCAGCUCUGACAGUUGAUGUGUAUGUGGUGCUCGAGGUCUGACUAGCAGGACUUGGAGCUUGGCGAAUGGUGGAAGAGCUCUUUGGUGCCCAGGAGGCCACUGAGGCUGUUAGAUAGGAUUGAGAAAUGACCUAAUGAGAGAAACUCUGUUCCUCCUCUGUGUGACUGUAGUAUCUUUUAUGAUCAUUUUGGAUGACUGAAUUUUCCCAAAGUAUUUGACAGAAGAAAUAAGAGUAUUUCAGAUCCUGCACACAACAGUAUAUACAGAAAGCCUACAAGCAGAAUGGUGGAGUCAUGAAGGAAAAGCCCGAAGAGAACUGUCAAACAUUACUGUGGCAGAGGCCACUUGAGGAGUUGUUGAAGGCUUUGAACGAUCCAGCACACCAGACACAGAGGAGAGCCUUGAACGAUUAGAAAUAAAGAUGGGAUCUGGUUCA
rnacentral:lncRNA from 1 species